GAUAAAGUGUCUGAUUUAGGUUGUAAACUGUAAAUUUAUAUAAGAAUUUUUAAUUCCUUUAUCA
rnacentral:tRNA from 1 species